UGCUAUAGAUUGAGAAUAGUGAAGGAGAGA
rnacentral:piRNA from 1 species